UACGUAGGGUGCGAGCGUUAAUCGGAAUUACUGGGCGUAAAGCGUGCGCAGGCGGUUUUGUAAGUCAGAUGUGAAAUCCCCGGGCUUAACCUGGGAAUGGCAUUUGGGACUGCAAGGCUUGAGUGCGGCAGAGGAGACUGGAAUUCCUGGUGUAGCAGUGAAAUGCGUAGAUAUCAGGAGGAACACCGAUGGCGAAGGCAGGUCUCUGGGCUGACACUGACGCUCAUGCACGAAAGCGUGGGAAGCAAACAGG
rnacentral:rRNA from 1 species